GUCCACACACGUCUGAUGAAGGGGCUUGCAAAAUUCUUCUGUUCCAUGUAAACGUAGCGCAAUGCUUGUCCAAAAAUUGAGUAAAGUUCUGAUUGUAAAAUCCAGGAGCCUGGCCAUACGAAUUCCAAAAUUCCCCUUUGCCAUCUUCUGUAAGGUACAUUGCAAUCCAAUGGGAUCCGGGCAUAUCCGAUGCGUCCGUGUUAAAUAUAUACCCUCUAGGCCUCUUUCUUAUUUCGCGAGGUAAACGAUCUGACGG